GAUGAACGCUAGCUACAGGCUUAACACAUGCAAGUCGAGGGGAAACGACAUCGGAAGCUUGCUUUUGAUGGGCGUCGACCGGCGCACGGGUGAGUAACGCGUAUCCAACCUUCCCGUUGCUAGGGGAUAACCUUGCGAAAGUAAGACUAAUACCCUAUGAAGUUCUUCGCAGGCAUCUAAAGAGAACGAAAGAUUUAUCGGCAACGGAUGGGGAUGCGUCUGAUUAGGUUGUUGGCGGGGUAACGGCCCACCAAGCCCACGAUCAGUAGGGGUUCUGAGAGGAAGGUCCCCCACAUUGGAACUGAGACACGGUCCAAACUCCUACGGGAGGCAGCAGUGAGGAAUAUUGGUCAAUGGACGGAAGUCUGAACCAGCCAAGUAGCGUGCAGGACGACGGCCCUAUGGGUUGUAAACUGCUUUUAUAAGGGAAUAAAGUGAGCCUCGUGAGGCUUUUUGCAUGUACCUUAUGAAUAAGGACCGGCUAAUUCCGUG
rnacentral:rRNA from 1 species